UGUUUUGGUAUUGUGAUGUUUGGGGUUCUUGGCUACGGUAGGUGAUGGGGCGGUUAGUGUUUUGGCUAAGGCGACUUUGGUAGGGUGAUGGUGUGGGUGCGAAGCGAUGUUCGGUCUGAGGUUGAUGGUCCAUUUGUUGGUGGUGGUAUGGGGGAUGUUCUUGGUAUUGGGGUUGGGUGAAUGGCAUGUUUUGGUUGUAUGUUUGUGUGUUUGUGGAACGGAAAGUUUGACGGAUAGGUGGUUGUGAGUAACCGGGCUGAGAAUGUUGUUG
rnacentral:lncRNA from 1 species